AAGGAAUAUUGCUCAAUGGGAGAAAUCCUGAAGCAGCAACGCCGCGUGGAGGAUGAAGGGUCUAUGACUUGUAAACUCCUGUAAAGAAGGAAAAAAUUCCCAUUAGAUGGGAGAUGAUGGUACUUCUGGAGUAAGCCCCGGCUAACUACGUGCCAGCAGCCGCGGUAAUACGUAGGGGACAAGCGUUGUCCGGAUUUACUGGGUGUAAAGGGUGCUCAGGCGGAUUUGUAAGUCAGAGGUGAAAUCUUACAGCUUAACUGUGAAACUGCCUUUGAUACUGCAAGCCUAGAGUAUGGAAGAGAGUGAUGGAAUAUCUGGUGUAGCAGUGAAAUGCGUAGAUAUCAGAUAGAACACCAAUGGCGAAGGCAGUCACUUGAUCCAUUACUGACGCUAAAGCACGAAAGCGUGGGUAGCAAACA
rnacentral:rRNA from 1 species